rnacentral:rRNA from 1 species
AGAAAGCUUGCUUUCUUGCUGACGAGUGGCGGACGGGUGAGUAAUGCUUGGGAAUCUGGCUUAUGGAGGGGGAUAACGACGGGAAACUGUCGCUAAUACCGCGUAGUGUCGAGAGACGAAAGUGCGGGACUGAGAGGCCGCAUGCCAUAGGAUGAGCCCAAGUGGGAUUAGGUAGUUGGUGGGGUAAAGGCCUACCAAGCCUGCGAUCUCUAGCUGGUCUGAGAGGAUGACCAGCCACACUGGAACUGAGACACGGUCCAGACUCCUACGGGAGGCAGCAGUGGGGAAUAUUGCGCAAUGGGGGGAACCCUGACGCAGCCAUGCCGCGUGAAUGAAGAAGGCCUUCGGGUUGUAAAGUUCUUUCGGUAUUGAGGAAGGUUGAUGUGUUAAUAGCACAUCAAAUUGACGUUAAAUACAGAAGAAGCACCGGCUAACUCCGUGCCAGCAGCCGCGGUAAUACGGAGGGUGCGAGCGUUAAUCGGAAUAACUGGGCGUAAAGGGCACGCAGGCGGUUAUUUAAGUGAGGUGUGAAAGCCCCGGGCUUAACCUGGGAAUUGCAUUUCAGACUGGGUAACUAGAGUACUUUAGGGAGGGGUAGAAUUCCACGUGUAGCGGUGAAAUGCGUAGAGAUGUGGAGGAAUACCGAAGGCGAAGGCAGCCCCUUGGGAAUGUACUGACGCUCAUGUGCGAAAGCGUGGGGAGCAAACAGGAUUAGAUACCCUGGUAGUCCACGCUGUAAACGCUGUCGAUUUGGGGGUUGGGGUUUAACUCUGG